GUACAUACAGCCUUAGUCUAGCUGAGGCCUCUCUGUGACCAAGCCCACGAGGACCCUGUGCCUUUCCGUGGCUGGAAACGAAGGAUGGGGCUGUUCCAUGCUGGGAGACACACCAGGAGCAGAGGUAUUGAGAGGCUGCUGAGGCACUCCCAAAGCUUCCCUUCACCAGGAAAUGAGCUCCAUUCCCUCUGCCUCUAUGCACAGCACGUGCCUUGGUGUCUCCCUGCUGUACAUGCUUUGUGCCACCAACACCUUAUGGACUCCUCUGACAAAGCAGGACAAGGGAGGACGAGCACAGAGGUGAGGGAAGCAUUGCCCUGCAUCCUGAUGGCAGUGGGACGGUCCCAGGCUGGAUGGGAUUUGUGACAGAGAAUGAUCUGCACAGGGAUUUUGGCAGCUCGUGGUGUGAGGAGGUGCUGAGUAAAUCCCUAAUUUUGUGGCUGAGGGUUGUGAGGUGCUCUCAGCAGUGCCACAGUGUCACCAAAUAAGUGCUCCAAGACAAAUCUGGGAUCUGGGGAGUGCUGCUGAGUGGUCUGGGCACCUCCAAAGCUCCUCCACUUCCUUUGCUGAGCUGGGAAAGAGCAGCUCUGUGUUUGGAGAUGCAUAAAGGACAUGGGGUGGGUGACCUGGAUUUGCAGUCACUGCUCCCUGGGGAGGGAGCCUGCAGUGAAGAGCUGCUGAGAUUAGGGGGAGUGUGGUAACUCCCAUGCUGAGGGAAAUGCUCAAAUUCACCCAAGGGCACGCCAAGCCAGGUUAAGAGCAUCAUUCUGCCCCCAGAAAUUAUUUUAUUGCACCUUGAACAGCAGCAGGAUUGGCCCUUGACCCCUCAGCAGCUGGAGCUGGAGCCAGCCAGGAGCCUGCACUGAGAGGAACUUCUGCUCAUUUCUUGGCCUGACAGGUAGCAAGAAUAACCUGACAUUAAAACCUGAGAAGGUGAGUGAAGAUCCUUGUGAUUUGCUCCAAGCUCUCGGAUCUCUCCCUGUGCUUCCCACUGAGGCAAUCCUGCAGCUCUUCUCCAGCUGGGGUGAAACUGGAGGGACAGGAAACAAUUUGGCUUUGUCAGAGGAGGGGCUGGGAGUGCUGGUGUCAGUCCAAGCCUGACCAGCUGUGUUUGGGAUGUGGGCACAGUGGCGUGCAAGCGGUGAAGGCUGCAGGUCUCACUGGGCUGGGAGAGUCCAGAUGUGAUUUGGACACUAGAUGGAGACAAGAGGGUUGAGGAUUGACACGGGAGCAGGAAUGCUGUUCCAGCAGCUGGUGCGAGAUCCAGCGAGGUGAGUCCUCAGCAAACUGGGGGAACUGCCCUGGAAUCGAAGCAACAGAGAACUGAACCAGUGGGAUCUUGGAGAGCUGGAGUCCUUGAAAAAGG
rnacentral:lncRNA from 1 species